GCUGUGACUAGUCUGUAAAAAUUGCUGUAUUUAACUCGCGACGUCAGAUUUUCUCUGGGUACUGAAAUAUCAAAAAAAAAUUAAUACUUAGCGAUUCAUUAUAUCAAAUAUAGUGGGCAAUAAUCAUUUCUCAUGCAAAAAGCCACCACUGGAAUCACAGACAUAAAGUGCGAAAGUUUCGAUCGGUACUUGGUUCAUUAUGUAAAUUAUCUUGACAAAUAGUCACGUAUAGAUAAUUUCGGCAGAUUUGCAACCAGAUAUUUUGUAAUCAUAUAUUUCGUGCACUAGAACGUACCUUCGUAGUACUUCUUGUAUUGUAACUUGUAUCCAUAAACGCCAUUUUCACUGUGAUAACUUUUGGCAGACACCCGUUGUGGUAUUCUAUAAGUAAAAUUAUGUCGGUUUCUAACUGAUACCCCUCCUGGAAUAACACGUGUUCUAAUACCACCACAUUUCGUGCUGAUCGGAAAUAAAUUUCUGUACAUCUUGCCGCCGAGAUAACCAUUGCGCGAUGGAACCAAAUCAGGUCAUCAACGAGUCUCUCCGAAGAUCAACUCCUCGUCAUCUUGUUCCGUUAGAGAACACAUGAGAUCUGCAACACAUUAGACGUACACCUCUCUUUUUUGCAGAGGUAUGUUUCAUUUAAUUUAUUCCUUUCGAGAAUCUCCAGUAUAAUCCAAUAUUCAGAGUCUUGGGAUAUGAAUUGCACCCCUGAGAGAAGAUUUUCGAAAUCCUCCUCAUAAAAUCAGAUCAGCCAGUAUUACCCAAUAGACUUGGUAAAUUCAUACACCCCCAUAAUAUAAUUCAUCAAACACGCCAAUAAGGGAAAACUUAAUUUAUCAUCAUAUAACGUCUUAUACUUAAUAUAUGUAUACUGAUGUGAGUCAUAUAAUAAGUUAUGCAUUAGGUUACAUGGUAGGUCAUACAGUCAGUCAUGUGUUGAGUAAAAUAAUUGUUUAAUUGUUAUUUGUGUUACGGGUCGCAUAUCCUCCAACGUGGGAGCCCAGACUCCCCCUGUUCUUCGAGGGAAGUCCACUGACUUGUCCCCUGGGACACCGCGGUCUCUCGCCGCCCCCGGGGUCCCAGUGGACCCAGUUCCCAGUACCCCGAGGUAUGUCUCCGGGGUCCUGCAUCUUCGAAAAUCCCGGGAAAAGGAGACCUGACCCGGACACUGUUUUUCGUUUCUCUAGAGAAACCCCGAAGACGAGCAUUCAAAUAUAUCUAUGCCUAUAGCCUUAGAUUUUUCUCAAAUAUAAGAUGAUAAUUUGACAUUUUUUUUAUUGGAGUUUUUUAUGCGAUACUCAUGUCUGUUAAAAUUGAACUAGUUAUCGCCGAUUUAUCGACCUGAAAAGUGACAAAUCAAGAAUAUCCCGACGGGAUUUAGCGAUAGAAGUGAUUACCUAUUAUCAUUCUAUGCUAUUAUACUGUCGGAGUACAAAACAUGAUUGCUUUUAAUGUGACAAUGAGAUUAUAUUAAAAUCAUGUACAUUUUAUAAUUCGAUAAAUAAAUAAAUAUAUGAAUA